CUACGGGCGGCAGCAGUUAGGAAUAAUCUACAAUGCGCGCAAGCGUGAUAGUUUGAGCCAGAGUGCGUUCCGCUAGGAACGCUUUUGCCAAAUGUAAAAAAUUUGGCGAAUAAGGACUGGGUAAGACGAGUGCCAGCCGCCGCGGUAAUACUCGCGGUCCAAGUCGCAGCCAUUUUUAUUGGGUCUAAAACAUCCGUAGCUUGUUUAAUAAGUCUCUUGUGAAAUUCUGUAUCUUAAGUGCAGAGCGGGCAAGAGAUACUGUUGAACUAGAGACUGGAAGACGUAAGAAGUACGUUUGGAGUAGCGGUAAAAUGUGUUAAUCCCAAGCGGACUCACAACAGCGAAGGCAUCUUACGAGUACAGUUCUGACAGUAAGGGAUGAAGGCUAGGGGCGCAAAACGGAUUAGAUACCCCUGUAGUC
rnacentral:rRNA from 1 species